rnacentral:rRNA from 1 species
UACGUAGGUGGCAAGCGUUGUCCGGAUUUAUUGGGUUUAAAGGGUGCGUAGGCGGCCCUGUAAGUCAGUGCUGAAAUAUCCCGGCUUAACCGGGAGGGUGGCAUUGAUACUGCGGGGCUAGAGUACAGAUGAGGUAGGCGGAAUUGACGGUGUAGCGGUGAAAUGCUUAGAUAUCGUCCAGAACACCGAUAGCGAAGGCAGCUUACUAAGGAGUAACUGACGCUGAGGCACGAAAGUGUGGGGAUCAAACAGG